rnacentral:lncRNA from 1 species
AGGCCUGGGCGAGCGAGGUAGGGCGGCGAGGGAGGGGGACUGCGAACAUCCGUCCCAUUCAGCGCCAGGGAACCAUUCAUUCCUCCCGGGCUCUUGCGUGUCCUGACCCUCUCAUCUCGGAAACACCAAGUGGACCAUAUUAGAGCAUUCGAUACGCUGGUCUUGGCAGUAGGGAUAGGAAACACGCAUACGACUACUGAGCUGCUGGAAGUCG